GACGAACGCUGGCGGCGUGCUUAACACAUGCCAGUCGAACGGAAAGGCCCUGCUUUUGUGGGGUGCUCGAGUGGCGAACGGGUGAGUAACACGUGAGUAACCUGCCCUUGACUUUGGGAUAACUUCAGGAAACUGGGGCUAAUACCGGAUAGGAGCUCCUGCUGCUUGGUGGGGGUUGGAAAGUUUCGGCGGUUGGGGAUGGACUCGCGGCUUAUCAGCUUGUUGGUGGGGUAGUGGCUUACCAAGGCUUUGACGGGUAGCCGGCCUGAGAGGGUGACCGGCCACAUUGGGACUGAGAUACGGCCCAGACUCCUACGGGAGGCAGCAGUGGGGAAUAUUGCACAAUGGGCGGAAGCCUGAUGCAGCAACGCCGCGUGCGGGAUGACGGCCUUCGGGUUGUAAACCGCUUUCGCCUGUGACGAAGCGUGAGUGACGGUAAUGGGUAAAGAAGCACCGGCUAACUACGUG
rnacentral:rRNA from 1 species